AAGUCGUAACAAGGUUUCCGUAGGUGAACCUGCGGAAGGAUCAUUAACAGAUUCUGCUAGCCAGAUAUCUUACCCCGUGUGAACUGUUCUUUAGACUUGGUGCCCAAGACUCGAGGCUCUCCGAGAGGGGCUGCUGGAGGCCUUCAAAUAGCCGACGCGUCUCUCAAGGGUGUCUCGACUCUAAGCACCAUCAUUUUUACCCUUUAACUUUGAAUGCCGAGAAACUUACAAAAGACUAGAAAACUUUUAGCAACGGAUCUCUAGGCUCUU
rnacentral:misc_RNA from 1 species